GUGAGGUACGAAUGAAAUUUUAACUUAUCUCUCAAAGAAACAAAACUAGUGGAGAAAUUAAUUAAUUUGGUGGAGCUCGGAUAAAACAAAUUACAAAUUUUAUGGAACCGUCAUUCGCCUUGUUGUUCAAUGUUUUGAUAGAGCUCUUUAAUUGUAAUGCACUUGAGUAGUCUGUAGAGUGAUGCCGUAACAUUGCAAAUUCCAAAGUGGAAAUUGAAAUAUUGGCCUUCUAAAUAUUCUUUUCCUAAUGGCUUAAUCGAAAUUUUAAUUAAAAAUUUAAUAUUUGUAGUUCCGUAUUUAAUCUUGUACGUGUUCUUCUUUCCUUUUCUUUAUUUCUAUCUAAUAACAUAACCCAGAAGAUAAAUCUCCACCGCCUCCGUUGCUCCCACCACCACCAUCAACAAUCCAUUAUUGGUUUACAAAUUCCACCAUCAUCGUCGAAGUCGCCGCCUCCAGAUUAUGAACAAACAGAUUGAGAAGUAUGAUUAAUUAUCUUCUUUUCCUUUUUCUUUUCUGGAUUUGUUCUUUCGAUCUAUUCACUUACAGAUCCAAAUUCUCAUUCAUUUUCUCAAUUGGUUGAUGGAGAUAAAAGAGAUUGCAUCGUUUAGCUUCGUUCCCUUUUUUAUUAAGUUUCUGCUGGUGCCGGAUGGCGGUGGUGUAAAUAGUUUUUCUUCUCGCUAUGAAACAAUAAGGGUAUACAAAUAUUGGUGGGUAUGGUGAUUUCCGCUCGAUUUAUACUGGUAAGCAUUAGCUAGCUGCGUAUCAUGCCUAUUUGAUGCCCUAUUAAUUUCUGCUUAUCAAUUUGAAAUUCAAAAGAUUUUCUAUGGAAGACAAAUUUCUGCUCCGUCAGUUUUUGCGGUUGUUGAUGAUGAUAGAUGUGGUGGUCGUUUGAUUGAACCUUCUCUUAUUGGAUUAGUAGCGCCUUAAAUUGCAGUGAACUUCUGCAUUUCUACCUGUGAGCUAACCCUUUCCGGAGAUUUUUUUUUUUUUGUAAUCAUUGUUGGAAACUGCAAUGCUGACUUAAUGGUGAUUAACCUCAGUAUUAUUGCCAACAUGUAUCAUUGAACGCGAUGGUGUCUUCAGCUUAUGCAGGGGUUUUCUGCCAAUUUAUUAUAUGAAAAUGGGUACAAUGUUGAAGUUUUUCGCCUUUCAAACGCUUGAUUCUUUUUAAAUUGAAAUGUAUGGGGCAAUCGACUAUCUUGGUUAUCCUUUCGAACAUUAUAAUUUUAUCAAACUUUUAAAUUGCGUGUUCUGCAAGCUGUUGGAGGAAGAAUUGUUGUUCUUAUUGAUGGGCAAUUCGACGUGGAACUGGUGUAUUCAAAGCUUUAGCUCUUGGAGGUCAGGGUUCUUGUAAGUAAAUCACCAUCUCACCAUCUUACAAUGGUUUCUAAGAAGUACUUUGUUUUCGUAUGAAAUGUUAAUGAACACACCCAAGCUCAGAAACACGUGGGAGCAUGUUUUUGGUGUUAGCACACAUUUUUGCAUUUUCCACUGAUACAUUCCUUCUAUAUAUUACAUUUCUUCUUUAUAUCAAAUUUAGUUGGUUGUUUCUA